rnacentral:rRNA from 1 species
CAGUAUGCCUCAGUACGGCGAGUGAGCGGCAGAGCUCAAAUUUGAAAGCUGGCUCCUUCGGGGUCCGCAUUGUAAUUUGCAGAGGAUGCUUCGGGAGCGGCCCCCAUCUAAGUGCCCUGGAACGGGCCGUCAUAGAGGGUGAAAAUCCCGUCUGGGAUGGGGUGUCCGCGCCCGUGUGAAGCUCCUUCGACGAGUCGAGUUGUUUGGGAAUGCAGCUCUAAAUGGGUGGUAAAUUUCAUCUAAAGCUAAAUAUUGGCCGGAGACCGAUAGCGCACAAGUAGAGUGAUCGAAAGAUGAAAAGCACUUUGAAAAGAGAGUUAAACAGCACGUGAAAUUGUUGAAAGGGAAGCGCUUGCGACCAGACUCGCCCACGGGGUUCAGCCGGCAUUCGUGCCGGUGUACUUCCCCGCGGGCGGGCCAGCGUCGGUUUGGGCGGCCGGUCAAAGGCCCUCGGAAUGUAACGCCCCCCGGGGCGUCUUAUAGCCGAGGGUGCCAUGCGGCCAGCCCAGACCGAGGAACGCGCUUCGGCUCGGACGCUGGCAUAAUGGUCGUAAGCGACCCGUCUUGA